rnacentral:rRNA from 1 species
UACAGAGGAGCCAAGCGUUGUCCGGAUUGACUGGGCGUAAAGCGCACGCAGGCGGGAUGCGCGCGGUGGGGUGUGAAAUCUGGCCGCUUAACGGCCAGGCGCCAUCCCAUACGGCGCGUCUGGAGUGAUGCAGAGGUCGAUGGAAUUGCCGGUGUAGUGGAUGAAAUGUCGUAAGAGAUCGGACAGGAACACCCAGGGGGGAAAC